GUCCAUGUAGCGCAAUGGAUAGUGCGUUGGACUUCUAAUUCAAAUAUUGUGGGUUCAAAUCCCACUUUGGAUG